AGCAGUCGCCGCGGUAAUACGUAGGGUGCAAGCGUUAAUCGGAAUUACUGGGCGUAAAGCGUGCGCAGGCGGUUAUAUAAGACAGAUGUGAAAUCCCCGGGCUCAACCUGGGAACUGCAUUUGUGACUGUAUAGCUAGAGUACGGCAGAGGGGGAUGGAAUUCCGCGUGUAGCAGUGAAAUGCGUAGAUAUGCGGAGGAACACCGAUGGCGAAGGCAAUCCCCUGGGCCUGUACUGACGCUCAUGCACGAAAGCGUGGGGAGCAAACAGGAUUAGAUACCCGCGUAGUCCCUGUCUCUUAUAC
rnacentral:rRNA from 1 species